rnacentral:lncRNA from 1 species
UUUUCUUUAUUCAGAACGAGGUACAUCGUGUACACACACAAAAAAAACAGGUGUAGUUUGACAAGAAGUAUUUAACAAUGCAUUAAAACCGCCAAUCACACUUUGGCAAGUUUUGGUUAAAAGCGCUUUAGUGCUACAAGUUCAUUCAGUACAGGGAGCCAUUCCGGCUGUUCUUCUCGUGCAUUGUAUGCAUCUCUUAUGUAAGCUAUACUUUCAAUGAAGUAUUCUCUGACAGAACGGGCAUUCGCGUCAACAUGCCGAAAUGCCAUGCAUGAUUUCCAAAUAGCGUGCAUACUUAACAGCAUAAACAUGUCGUACGGUAUGCCACUGUCACUGUGAACCGGUAGGAAACGGAUUCCAUGGGGUGUCAAAGGUAAGUCU